rnacentral:sRNA from 1 species
AAAUAUUAAAUAAGAAAUCUAUUGAAAAUUAAUAUUAUUAAAAGAGAGUAUAUUUGUGAUUUGUUUUUUAGACUAAAUCAUCUCCAUCCAAAUGGUUCUACCAAGUCCAUCCAAAUGAGUUUUACAAAUUAGCGUAAGUUUACAAAAUCAUUCCAUAUAUUAUA